rnacentral:rRNA from 2 species
CAAACGACUCUCGGCAACGGAUAUCUCGGCUCACGCAUCGAUGAAGAACGUAGCAAAAUGCGAUACUUGGUGUGAAUUGCAGAAUCCCGUGAACCAUCGAGUUUUUGAACGCAAGUUGCGCCCGAAGCCAUCCGGCCGAGGGCACGUCUGCCUGGGCGUCACG